CCUACGGGAGGCAGCAGUGGGGAAUAUUGCACAAUGGGCGAAAGCCUGAUGCAGCGACGCCGCGUGAGGGAUGACGGCCUUCGGGUUGUAAACCUCUUUCAGCAGGGAAGAAGCGAAAGUGACGGUACCUGCAGAAGAAGCGCCGGCUAACUACGUGCCAGCAGCCGCGGUAAUACGUAGGGCGCGAGCGUUGUCCGGAAUUAUUGGGCGUAAAGAGCUCGUAGGCGGCUUGUCACGUCGGGUGUGAAAGCCCGGGGCUUAACCCCGGGUCUGCAUUCGAUACGGGCUAGCUAGAGUGUGGUAGGGGAGAUCGGAAUUCCUGGUGUAGCGGUGAAAUGCGCAGAUAUCAGGAGGAACACCGGCGGCGAAGGCGGAUCUCUGGGCCAUUACUGACGCUGAGGAGCGAAAGCGUGGGGAGCGAACAGGAUUAGAUACCCUGGUAGUCCACGCCGUAAACGGUGGGAACUAGGUGUUGGCGACAUUCCACGUCGUCGGUGCCGCAGCUAACGCAUUAAGUUCCCCGCCUGGGGAGUACGGCCGCAAGGCUAAAACUCAAAUGAAUUGACGG
rnacentral:rRNA from 1 species